UUAUUUCUCAUCUGUUGCUUCUUAUCCUACAUUCGGGGCUUUGGAGCAGGAGUCACCAACCGUUUGGACUUCAGGGACCACCAAACUCAUAAUUUUAAAUCCUGCGGACCACUAAUAUGAAUUUUGACUGACGGUGGCUUGCGGACGUUGGUGGGAAAAAGCGAAAGAGAAAUCUAA